CCUUGCCAGCCCGCUCAAGAAACUCAAAUGAAUUGACGGGGGCCCGCACAAGCGGUGGAGUAUGUGGUUUAAUUCGAUGCAACGCGAAGAACCUUACCUGGUCUUGACAUCCCGGAGACCCUUAGGAAACUAGGGGGUGCUUCCAUCUGGAAGAAUCUGGAGACAGGUGCUGCAUGGCUGUCGUCAGCUCGUGUCGUGAGAUGUUGGGUUAAGUCCCGCAACGAGCGCAACCCUUGCCUUUAGUUGCCAGCAGUUCGGCUGGGCACUCUAAAGGGACUGCCGGUGUUAAACCGGAGGAAGGUGGGGAUGACGUCAAGUCCUCAUGGCCUUUAUGACCAGGGCUACACACGUACUACAAUGGCCGAUACAAAGGGCAGCGACACUGCGAGGUGAAGCCAAUCCCGUAAAAUCGGUCUCAGUCCGGAUUGGAGUCUGCAACUCGACUCCGUGAAGCUGGAUUCGCUAGUAAUCGCGCAUCAGCCACGGCGCGGUGAAUACGUUCCCGGGCCUU
rnacentral:rRNA from 1 species